GUUUGUUGCGAUCAAGCAUCCUAUAUGCUGGCUCUUCCAUGCAAGCCCAUGCUUCCCCAAAAUGUCAGAUACGUGAGGAGAGUGAAGGAGGUGUAACCCGCCGUGAGACAGGUCAGCUUUAACCUGCUGGUGAAU
rnacentral:rRNA from 1 species